AAUGGAUAGUUAACAGUGUGGCCGUGUGUACUUUGUUAUGUGCACAUUAUUAAUUGUUCAUAUUCAUUACAGUUAAUGCAGCCGAAGCAACCACUGCAAGAUUUGGUCAGACUCCAAAAGAGACUUCCAAAAGUUCCAACUCAUCUCCCACGAAGUCUCCAGACGUGGUGACCCCACCAAGAUCUGCAUCAUCAGCCACAUCAUCUAAAGCUACUACAACGGUAUCAAUCCCUAUCACUACCAAGCAGACUCAAAAAGCAACUUCUAACACCAAGAAUCAGAAGUCAUCAACCAAGACCGCUCCUGCAUCCGGCGCACCCUCAAAAGCUACUACAACCGUAACAAUCCCUAGCAGUACCAAGCAAACUCCAAAAGCACCUGUUACGAAGUCAUCAAUCGUGACCACUCCUACAUCAGUCGC